AUGUCUACAUGUUUAGAGAGAUUGGCAUCAAAUAUCAACUUAGUGAAUGAUACAAUAUGCAUUCAGUUUUGCUUCUGGAAAACAUUUCUCAUAUCAGAAAAGGAGGAUGUAGGAGUAUGGGAAAUAGUGCAUUCUACCAAAAAAGUUCAACAAGGCCCCUCAAUGUUGGAGGAACCAGGGAUGUUCUGUGGACUUAAUUCUGGACAGCAGAACCCAUUUUGCUUCAUGCAGAGGAGAAUCAUGCUGUCCUCAGAAAGAGGAUUUAUUCUUAAGCAGUUCUGGCUGACAUGAGAGAUAGUGAUCCAUCAUGUUGGCAUGGAGGGAUGGGCAGGAGUGCACCAUGCAGUAGGCAUGCUCUCCUCUAGUACAUUGAGCUGCUUCCACGUGUUACACACUGGCAGCAGAAGUUUUGGUGCUGUGAAAUCUGUAUUCUCUAGGGAUGACUGAAGUUGUCAUCCCAAAGAGAUUUGAAGGGAAUAUACUCUCUAGAUACAAAUAACACAUAUCCUGUGUGACAGUCUGUCUUCUGGUUGCUUGAAUUUAUCCUGAUGUUCAGUUGACAUUACUGCUUUAUGUAGAAAUGGUCAAGUGAUUUUUUUUCUUGUUUGCUUUUUUAUUUUUUAUCACCUGAGCAGACAUACAAACACACUUACAUGUUUAUAUUAUACAUUUACAGCCCCAGGUUAAAAAUGAUAAAGCUGCGGUACUUACAAACAAUUUAAUAAGCCUGAAAUUGUUACUAAUACAAUUUAAGGAGUUUAGUUAACUUUUUAAAAACUACCAGCACUUGUAAACAAAUACUUCUUAAAAAUUUGUAAGAAUGAAUACGCCUGCAUACAAAUCUUAGUUGAUUUCUCUCCUUAGUUUAAUGGAAUAAAGAAUGUUUUAUUUUCAUUAUCUGAUGGACAUGAUUACUGCAGAUAUUUUAUCAUGUUGUCAUUAUGAUUUAGUAGAAUUUUAGCGUUUAAUUCUUAAAUGUGCACAGAAACACUGCUCAGAGUCCUCUGGGCAAUAAUAGUAUCUAGUACAGAUGCAUGAGGGAAAAAGAGCAAAGCUAUUUACUGUUAGGAGUUUCUGGCCAUUUAAAUCUUUCACACAUCAGUGGAAGAAUAGAUUUCUUAGUGCUGAAAAGCGCAAUGAUGACUUGCA
rnacentral:lncRNA from 1 species